rnacentral:rRNA from 1 species
CCCAGACUCCUACGGGAGGCAGCAGUGGGGGAUAUUGCACAAUGGGGGGAACCCUGAUGCAGCGACGCCGCGUGGGUGAAGGAGCGUUUCGGCGCGUAAAGCCCUAUCGGCAGGGAAGAAGGAGGACGGUACCUGACUAAGAAGCCCCGGCUAACUACGUGCCAGCAGCCGCGGUAAUACGUAGGGGGCAAGCGUUAUCCGGAUUUACUGGGUGUAAAGGGGGCGCAGACGGCAGCGCAAGCCAGGAGUGAAAGUCCGGGGCCCACCCCCGGGACUGCUCUUGGAACUGCGCGGCUGGAGUGCAGGAGGGGCAGGCGGAAUUCCUGGUGUAGCGGUGAAAUGCGUAGAUAUCAGGAGGAACACCGGUGGCGAAGGCGGCCUGCUGGACUGCGACUGACGUUGAGGCCCGAAAGCGUGGGGAGCAAACAGGAUUAGAUACCCCAGUAGUA